rnacentral:rRNA from 1 species
AAGGCCUUCGGGUUGGAAACCGCUUUUGUCAGGGAAGAAAUCCUUUGAGUUAAUACCUCGGAGGGAUGACGGUACCUGAAGAAUAAGCACCGGCUAACUACGUGC